rnacentral:rRNA from 1 species
UGGGGAAUAUUGGACAAUGGGCGCAAGCCUGAUCCAGCCAUGCCGCGUGAGUGAUGAAGGCCUUAGGGUUGUAAAGCUCUUUCGCCGGUGAAGAUAAUGACGGUAACCGGAGAAGAAGCCCCGGCUAACUUCGUGCCAGCAGCCGCGGUAAUACGAAGGGGGCUAGCGUUGCUCGGAAUCACUGGGCGUAAAGCGCACGUAGGCGGAUCGUUAAGUCAGGGGUGAAAUCCUGGAGCUCAGCUCCAGAACUGCCCUUGAUACUGGCGAUCUCGAGUUCGAGAGAGGUUGGUGGAACUCCGAGUGUAGAGGUGAAAUUCGUAGAUAUUCGGAAGAACACCAGUGGCGAAGGCGGCCAACUGGCUCGAUACUGACGCUGAGGUGCGAAAGCGUGGGGAGCAAAACAGGAUUAGAUACCCUGGUAGUCCACGCCGUAAAACGAUGGAUGCUAGCCGUUGGGGGGUUUACCUCUCAGUGGCGCAGCUAACGCCUUAAGCAUCCCGCCUGGGGAGUACGGUCGCAAGAUUAAAACUCAAAGGAAUUGACGGGGUCAUAGCUGUUU